CAAAGACGAUUUUUUUAUUUUUUGGACCUUCUGCGGACAUAACAACCAUUCUUUUAAUAUUCUAACUAUUCCAACUCCCGAACAAAAU
rnacentral:sRNA from 1 species